rnacentral:rRNA from 1 species
AGGGUUUGAUUAUGGCUCAGAACGUACGCUGGCGGCACGCCUAACACAUGCAAGUCGAACGAAGUAGCAAUACUUAGUGGCAGACGGGUGAGUAACAUGUAGGUAUCUGCCCUUUGGCCUGGAAUAACACGAGGAAACUUGUGCUAAUACCGGAUAAGUCUUUACGGAGAAAGCUUUAUGCACCAUUGGAUGAGCCUGCACUUGAUUAGUUUGUUGGUGGGGUAAUGGCCUACCAAGACUGUGAUCAAUAGCUGAUUUGAGAGGAUGAUCAGCCACAUUGGGACUGAGACACGGCCCAAACUCCUACGGGAGGCAGCAGAGGGGAAUCUUGCACAAUGGAGGAAACUCUGAUGCAGCGAUGCCGCGUGAGUGAAGAAGGCCCUUGGGUUGUAAAGCUCUUUCGUCGGGGAAGAAAAUGACUGUACCCGAAUAAGAAGGUCCGGCUAACUUCGUGCCAGCCGCCGCGGUAAUAC